UCAUAUGCUUGUCUCAAAGAUUAAGCCAUGCAUGUCUAAGUAUAAGCAAUUAUACAGCGAAACUGCGAAUGGCUCAUUAUAUAAGUUAUCGUUAAUUUGAUAGUGCCUUACUACUUGGAUAACCGUGGUAAUUCUAGAGCUAAUACACGCUGAAAAUCCCGACUCCGGAAGGGAUGUGUUUAUUAGAUUAAAAACCAAUGCCCCCUGGGCUCCUUGGUGAUUCAUGAUAACUGUUCGAAUCGCAUGGCCUUGCGCCGGCGAUGGUUCAUUCAAAUUUCUUCCCUAUCAGCUUUCGAUGUUUGGGUAUUGGCCAAACAUGGCGGCAACGGGUAACGGAGGGUUAGGGCUCGACCCCGGAGAAGGAGCCUGAGAAACGGCUACUACAUCCAAGGAAGGCAGCAGGCGCGCAAAUUACCCAAUCCCGAUCCGGGGAGGUAGUGACAAUAAAUACUGAUACAGGGCUCUUUUGGGUCUUGUAAUUGGAAUGAGUACAAUUUAAAUCCCUUAACGAGGAACAAUUGGAGGGCAAGUCUGGUGCCAGCAGCCGCGGUAAUUCCAGCUCCAAUAGCGUAUAUUAAAGUUGUUGUGGUUAAAAAGCUCGUAGUUGAACCUUGGGCCUGGCUGGCCGGUCCGCCUCACCGCGUGCACUGGUCCGGCCGGGCCUUUCCCUCUGCGGAACCCCAUGCCCUUCACUGGGCGUGGCGGGGAAGCAGGACUUUUACUUUGAAAAAAUUAGAGUGCUUCAGGCAGGCCUAUGCUCGAAUACAUUAGCAUGGAAUAAUGAAAUAGGACGCGCGGUUCUAUUUUGUUGGUUUCUGGGACCGCCGUAAUGGUUAAUAGGGACAGUCGGGGGCAUCAGUAUUCAAUCGUUAGAGGUGAAAUUCUUGGAUCGACUGAAGACUAACUACUGCGAAAGCAUUUGCCAAGGAUGUUUUCAUUAAUCAGGAACGAAAGUUAGGGGAUCGAAGACGAUCAGAUACCGUCGUAGUCUUAACCAUAAACUAUGCCGACUAGGGAUCGGACGACGUUAAUUCUUGACGCGUUCGGCACCUUACGAGAAAUCAAAGUGCUUGGGCUCCAGGGGGAG
rnacentral:rRNA from 1 species